rnacentral:rRNA from 2 species
UAGCGGCGGACGGGUGAGUAACACGUGGGUAACCUGCCUGUAAGACUGGGAUAACUCCGGGAAACCGGGGCUAAUACCGGAUGGUUGUUUGAACCGCAUGGUUCAAACAUAAAAGGUGGCUUUGGCUACCACUUACAGAUGGACCCGCGGCGCAUUAGCUAGUUGGUGAGGUAACGGCUCACCAAGGCAACGAUGCGUAGCCGACCUGAGAGGGUGAUCGGCCACACUGGGACUGAGACACGGCCCAGACUCCUACGGGAGGCAGCAGUAGGGAAUCUUCCGCAAUGGACGAAAGUCUGACGGAGCAACGCCGCGUGAGUGAUGAAGGUUUUCGGAUCGUAAAGCUCUGUUGUUAGGGAAGAACAAGUACCGUUCGAAUAGGGCGGUACCUUGACGGUACCUAACCAGAAAGCCACGGCUAACUACGUGCCAGCAGCCGCGGUAAUACGUAGGUGGCAAGC